rnacentral:rRNA from 1 species
AAAAAAGCCGCCCGUACCCCAAACCGACACAGGUGGUCAGGUAGAGAAUACCAAGGCGAUCGAGAGAACUAUGGUUAAGGAACUCGGCAAAAUGCCCCCGUAACUUCGGGAGAAGGGGGGCCGAUUUGGGUGAGGAGACUUGCUCUCUUAGCCCGGGUUGGCCGCAGAGACCAGGCCCAAGCGACUGUUUACUAAAAACAUAGGUCCAUGCGAAGUCGCAAGACGCUGCAUAUGGACUGACGCCUGCCCGGUGCUGGAACGUUAAGGGGACGGGUUAGCAACUUCGGUUGCGAAGCUCAGAACUUAAGCGCCAGUAAACGGCGGUGGUAACUAUAACCAUCCUAAGGUAGCGAAAUUCCUUGUCGGGUAAGUUCCGACCUGCACGAAUGGCGUAACGACUUGGGCGCUGUCUCAACCGUAGACUCGGCGAAAUUGCAUUACGAGUAAAGAUGCUCGUUACGCGCGGCAGGACGGAGAGACCCCGGGACCUUUACUACAGCUUGGUAUUGGUGGUCGAUUCAAUUUGUGUAGGAUAGGUGGGAGACUAUGAACUCUGGACGCCAGUUCAGAGGGAGUCAUCGUUGAAAUACCACUCUGAUUGUAUUGGCUGUCUAACCUAGGUCCGUAAUCCGGAUCAGGGACAGUGCCUGGUGGGUAGUUUAACUGGGGCGGUUGCCUCCUAAAAUGUAACGGAGGCGCUCAAAGGUUCCCUCAGCCUGGUUGGCAAUCAGGUAUCGAGUGUAAGUGCACAAGGGAGCUUGACUGUGAGACUGACGGGUCGAGCAGGGACGAAAGUCGGAACUAGUGAUCCGGCGCUGGCAAGUGGAAGCGGCGUCGCUCAACGGAUAAAAGGUACCCCGGGGAUAACAGGCUGAUCUUCCCCAAGAGUCCAUAUCGACGGGAUGGUUUGGCACCUCGAUGUCGGCUCGUCGCAUCCUGGGGCUGGAGUUGGUCCCAAGGGUUGGGCUGUUCGCCCAUUAAAGCGGCACGCGAGCUGGGUUUAGAACGUCGUGAGACAGUUCGGUCCCUAUCCGCCGCGCGCGUAAGAGUCUUGAGAAGGGCUGUCCCUAGUACGAGAGGACCGGGAUGGACGAACCUCCGGUGUGUCAGUUGUCCUGCCAAGGGCACUGCUGAUUAGCUACGUUCGGAACGGAUAACCGCUGAAAGCAUCUAAGCGGGAAGCCGGCUUCAAGAUGAGGGCUCUCACAGGGUUAACCUGGUAAGGCCCCCAGUAGACCACUGGGUUGAUAGGCCGGAAGUGGAAGUACGGCGAUGUAUGGAGCUGACCGGUACUAAUAGGCCGAGGACUUGAUC